rnacentral:rRNA from 1 species
CGCAUCUGUGCAUGCAGCAUAUCAAUAAGCGGAGGAAAAGAAACUAACAAGGAUUCCCCUAGUAACGGCGAGUGAAGCGGGAAGAGCUCAAAUUUGAAGUCUUAAAGGGUUUCCCUUUACGAAUUGUAGUUUAAAGAAGUGUUUUCUGUUGAGGUUUUGGUAAAAGUUCUUUGGAAUAGGACAUCAUAGAGGGUGAGAAUCCCGUACUUUGACCUUUACUUUCAACUUCGUGAUACACUUUCAAAGAGUCGGAUUGUUUGGGAAUGCAGUCCAAAAUGGGUGGUAAAUUUCAUCUAAAGCUAAAUAUUGGCGAGAGACCGAUAGCGAACAAGUACCGUGAGGGAAAGAUGAAAAGAACUUUGAAAAGAGAGUUAAACAGUACGUGAAAUUGUCAAAAGGGAAGCGUUUGACACCAGUGUUGUUUUUCUGAAAAUCAAUUAAAGAACUGUUUAUGCUAAGUUGUUUAGACUUUAUCAGCUAACUGUUAUAGUUUUGAGCUUUUCUUUAAUGCACUUUUCAGUUAACAAGUCAACAUCAAUUUCUUUUGCUGUAAAAAAGCUUGAGGAAGGUGGCUUGAGAUUCGUCUUAAGUGUUUAUAGCCUCUUGCCUAUGCAGUCGGAGAGAUUGAGGUCUGCAGCGUAGAUCCUUCGGGGCUAAAUGCAUUUGUGCUAAGUUAUAGCAUUUUAUAGACAACUUGUUGACUAUGAUUUGUCUUGUAGCUUACUCGCUUAUGUUAUUUUACCUACGCUUAGGAUGUUGAACGCGCACAGAGUCUC